rnacentral:lncRNA from 1 species
AUACAGGCCAUGUUAACGAUGGAUUUGCUAUGUGCUAGAUUAUCACAAGAUUUUUCUAUCAGACAGACACACAUGCACAGGUGAAUAUCACUCCAUAGACAGUCAACAUGCACAGGUGAAUAUCACAGCUGAAUAUCACUCCAUAGACAGUCAACAUGCACAGCUGAAUAUCACUCCAUAGCUGAAUAUCACUCCAUAGACAGUCAACAUGCACAGCUGAUAUCACUCCAUAGCUGAAUAUCACUCCACGACAGUCAACAUGCACAGCUGAAUAUCACUCAUCGAAGUAAACAUGAAAGCGAUUCACUCAUAGACAGUCAACAUGCACAGCUGAUAUCACUCCAUAGCUGAAUAUCACUCCACAGACAGUCAACAUGCACAGCUGAUUCACUCCAUGACAGUCAACAUGCACAGUGACUAUCACUCAUAGACAGUCAACAGCACAG